GAUGAAGACGUAGCGAAAUGCGAAAAGUAAUGUGAAUUGCAGAAUUCAGUGAAUCAUCGAAUCUUUGAACGCACAUUGCGCCCGCUGGUACUCCGGCGGGCACGCCUGUCCGAGCGUCAUUUCAACCCUCAAGCCCUCCUUCGGGAUGGGCCUGGUGUUGGGGCUCGGCCGCCAUCUCCGGCGGCCGUCCCCUAAAUACAGUGGCGGUCACGUCGCGACUCCUUUGCGUAGUAGAAACACCUCGCUCCGGAUAGCAACGCGGUCCACGCCGUAAAACCCCCAAUUUUCAAUGGUUGACCUCGGAUCAGGUGGGAAUACCCGCUGAACUUAAGCAUAUCAAUAAGCGGAGGA
rnacentral:misc_RNA from 1 species